AUUGAACGCUGGCGGCAGGCCUAACACAUGCAAGUCGAGCGGGGUUUUCGGACCUAGCGGCGGACGGGUGAGUAAUGCGUAGGAAGCUACCCGAUAGAGGGGGAUACCAGUUGGAAACGACUGUUAAUACCGCAUAAUGUCUACGGACCAAAGUGUGGGACCUUCGGGCCACAUGCUAUCGGAUGCGCCUACGUGGGAUUAGCUAGUUGGUGAGGUAAUGGCUCACCAAGGCGACGAUCCCUAGCUGGUUUGAGAGGAUGAUCAGCCACACUGGAACUGAGACACGGUCCAGACUCCUACGGGAGGCAGCAGUGGGGAAUAUUGGACAAUGGGCGCAAGCCUGAUCCAGCCAUGCCGCGUGUGUGAAGAAGGCCUUCGGGUUGUAAAGCACUUUCAGUAGGGAGGAAGCGUUGAGUGUUAAUAGUACUCAGCGUUGACGUUACCUACAGAAGAAGCACCGGCUAACUCUGUGCCAGCAGCCGCAGUAA
rnacentral:rRNA from 1 species